GCCCUUAUAGCUCAGUGGUAGAGCGCAGCACUUGUAUCUCCAUCAUUACAAGAUAAAUGCUGAGGUCCAUCGUUCAAUCCGGUGUGGGGGCA